CCAGACUCCUACGGGAGGCAGCAGUGAGGAAUAUUGGUCAAUGGCCGAGAGGCUGAACCAGCCAAGUCGCGUGAGGGAAGAAGGCCCUGCGAGUCGCAGACCUCUUUGGACGGGGAGCAAGGCCGCCGACGUGUCGGCGGAAGGAGAGUACCCGUAGAACAAGCAUCGGCUAACUCCGUGCCAGCAGCCGCGGUAAUACGGAGGAUGCGAGCGUUAUCCGGAUUUAUUGGGUUUAAAGGGUGCGCAGGCGGCACGGCAAGCCGGCGGUCAAAUCGCGGGGCUCAACCCCGCCCAGCCGUCGGAACUGCCGGGCUAGAGUGGGCGAGAAGUGCGCGGAAUGCGUGGUGUAGCGGUGAAAUGCAUAGAUAUCACGCAGAACUCCGAUUGCGAAGGCAGCAUACCGGCGCUCAACUGACGCUCAUGCACGAAAGUGUGGGUAUCGAACAGGAUUAGAUACCCUAGUAU
rnacentral:rRNA from 1 species